rnacentral:rRNA from 1 species
AGUGAACGCUGGCGGCAGGCCUAACACAUGCAAGUCGAACGGCAGCACAGCAGUAGCAAUACUGUGGGUGGCGAGUGGCGGACGGGUGAGGAAUACAUGGGAAUCUGCCCUGUCGUGGGGGAUAACGUAGGGAAACUUACGCUAAUACCGCAUACGACCGAGAGGUGAAAGCGGCGGACCGCAAGGCGUCGCGCGAUUGGAUGAGCCCAUGUCGGAUUAGCUAGUUGGCGGGGUAAAGGCCCACCAAGGCGACGAUCCGUAGCUGGUCUGAGAGGAUGAUCAGCCACACUGGAACUGAGACACGGUCCAGACUCCUACGGGAGGCAGCAGUGGGGAAUAUUGGACAAUGGGCGCAAGCCUGAUCCAGCCAUGCCGCGUGAGUGAGGAAGGCCUUCGGGUUGUAAAGCUCUUUUGUCCGGAAAGAAAAGCCUUCGGUUAAUACCCGGGGGUGAUGACGGUACCGGAAGAAUAAGCACCGGCUAACUUCGUGCCAGCCGCCGCCGUAAAAC